AUUCCCACCAACAGUGUAGGAGGGUGCCCAUUUCUCCACAUCCUCGCCAGCAUCUAGAGUCCUCUGAUUUGCUCAUCUAAAUAGCAAUUUUUGAAACUACUUCCAGACAUCCUACAUGCAUGGUAGCAGUUGUGGCAGAGCUCAGUUCACUGAAGGGCAGCGGGACAGUUUAGACUCAUGGGUGAGAGAGAGAGAGAGACAGCGUGAGCAGGGGAGG